rnacentral:lncRNA from 1 species
AAGAACGAGAUUUCGUUGGGAGUUCAAGAGUUCGUUGGAAGUCCGGACAUUCAUCAGAAGUUCUAUCGAAAUUGACUAAGAAGUCCAGGAGCUUGCUAGAGAAGCUUAUCAGAACUCACCAAGAAGAUUGUCGUGAAGUUUAGGAGCUUGUUAGGAGUCCGUUGGAACAUUACCGAGAGAUCAUCGGAAGUUCACCGGAAGAUCGUCGGAAGCUCGUUGGAAGAAACCUAGACUUACCAG